CGGGACCCAUUCUUGCUCAGAAGAGACCCAGAGACCAGAUUCUUGUGAAUCUCUGGCACGUACAACACAUUAGUCAGAGUAAGCUCUUUGCCAGAUGUCAUCUUUAGGAUCACCUUGCCUUUACCAAGCACUUCAGAAGUUGUAGAAUUUCCCAUGAACAACUUUCACCAUUUGUAACUGGUGCAAAUGUAGUGAACAUCCUCCUGUUGGAGCAGACAUGGCAAGUGGCCUUAGUAUCCAACCACCACUCCUUUGGGUUAGACCCCACCAGGUUAACCUCACUAAUCACCGCCGUGAGAUU
rnacentral:lncRNA from 1 species